rnacentral:rRNA from 1 species
ACGGGAGGCAGCAGUGGGGGAUAUUGCACAAUGGGCGCAAGCCUGAUGCAGCGACGCCGCGUGAGUGAAGAAGUAUUUCGGUAUGUAAAGCUCUAUCAGCAGGGAAGAAAAUGACGGUACCUGACUAAGAAGCCCCGGCUAACUACGUGCCAGCAGCCGCGGUAAUACGUAGGGGGCAAGCGUUAUCCGGAUUUACUGGGUGUAAAGGGAGCGUAGACGGCAUGGCAAGUCUGAUGUGAAAACCCGGGGCUCAACCCCGGGACUGCAUUGGAAACUGUCAAGCUAGAGUGCAGGAGAGGUAAGUGGAAUUCCUAGUGUAGCGGUGAAAUGCGUAGAUAUUAGGAGGAACACCAGUGGCGAAGGCGGCUUACUGGACUGUAACUGACGUUGAGGCUCGAAAGCGUGGGGAGCAAACAGGAUUAGAUACCCUGGUA